GAUAUGGGGGGUCUUGCUUAGAUGCCAAGGUUAACCCAGAGCUCACCAUGUUCCUGCCUCAGCCUCCCAAGUAGCUGGGAUUAUAGGCAUAUGCCAGACUGGCAGUCUGCCUUUUCUUGAAACCUACUUCUUGUGAGACGCUAGUUCUUGUUUCUCUUAGAAAAUCCCAGCACAGUCUGAGAUCUCUGCCCCCCAAAAAAAUAAUUUUAAAAAAUAGUCUGAAAACUUAGGCCAAGGCCUGCUGGGAUGAGCUACUCGGUGGACACAGUGGAUAGAGGUGGGUGAAACAUGGUAUGUCUACCUCUCCCUUGUCCUCUUCCUCCCAGCUCCCUUCUACUGCACCUGCAUGUCACAGUUUUUAGGGACUCCAGAAAGUGAUCCAACAUGUAAACUGGCCAGGGGUCUGUCAUGGGGUAGAAGUGGAGCAGCACAUGUCACUUGUCAUCUGGUAGCAUUAAGAAAUCAGCCUUGACUCCCAUAUGUUGAAAUGUGAGGACAUCUAGAGUGAGGAGUGCUCACUUUUGCUCUCUGGACACUGAAAACAUUCAGCUAGAUGUUAUGGGGCCUUCCCACCUCCCUUACUUUGUAUUUGUUUACAACAGGAGGUACUUUACCAUCCUCCUGAGCCUUUCAACAGUUUUGGACAAAAGUCUACUGAUGUCCAAAUGCAAAAGAAGUGGCUGUCAGAUGUGGAAAUGCUUUCCUCUAUAAUGCCUCAAAAAUAAACCAUGCAUAUAAAUUCAGAACUCUUCCUCUUGGGGAUUUUUUGUGAUGGCAAGAAUGACGCUGCCACUCACAGAAGAGUUUAAGGAAAUGGAGUUGCCUCCCCUGGCUCUGAGAGUCUGCCUGUGAAAGGAGUCUGAG
rnacentral:lncRNA from 1 species